AACGCACCUUGCACCUUCCAGUAUUCUGGAAGGUAUGCCCGGUUGAGUGUUUUGAAUAUCUCAAACCCAUUGGCUUUGUGAUGUCUGUGUAUGUGUGAGCCCCUUGGUCUUGUCCAAGGGGUGAUCCCUUGGCACAGAUGAAGUUGAUGGGUAUUGGAAUUGAGCGACCUGCUGGCCUUUGGCCGGCUCGCUUGAAAUGCAUUAGCUGGAUCAAUCCUUUGGUUCAAAUCGGUGUGAUAAGUUCAUCGCCGCUUGAGCCCAAGUGAUCGUCCGCUUCUAAUCGUCUCUGGACAACUUUUUUGACCUUUACACCUCAACUCGGGUAGGACUACCCGCUGAACUUAA
rnacentral:misc_RNA from 1 species